UUAUAUAUUAGCUGAUAAAAUCCCUAACUCCUAGGAGGCUUCUUGAAGACAAAAGUGCUUCCCUCAAUUUCUUAAUGGAAAGUUGUGUAUCAUUAUACUUUUCCAAGGAAGGGCGUUUUUCUUUUCCAUCCUUUUUUUAUUUACAGCUUCAGAAAAGCCUUGUGCUUUUUUAGGCUUCCACAUCUGAAAGAUGCUUGCAUGGUGCUCUCUCUCUCUCUCUGUUCCCCUCCGAAUCUGCUUUUCAGCUCUUGAAGUGACCCGAGGCAACCUUGCUUCGGAGGUCCAUGCAAGGGGGCUUUGAAUUUGGUUUUGUGAGAGAAUGAUAGGAUAGGGAAAAAAGCCUCUUUUUUUAACACAUUUGCUCUCAUGUUCUUUGGUUUGAAGCGAUCUCUCUUUUACUGUUCAUUUUUUAACUGUAACCCUCCCACAAAAGCACGAUGUUAUUUUAGUUGAAUUUUCACCUUGUUCUUUCUUUUUAGCACAGCCACUUUUGAUUCUUUUACAUGAAUAUUUAGCCGGUGUAUGAACAUAUCUCUGGUUGGAGCGAGAGGCAGUUCCCUGUCAGAAAAAUGAACAAGGAGAUCAAAGCUAGCUGAAAAGCCAGUUUUCGACUACUAUAUAUUGAGGUCGUUGUAACCUCCAUUUGAUAAAUAUAUGUCUUCUUCUUCUUCUUUAUCCAACUCUUGAUUCCUCAAGUUAAUUACUAUAUUAAUUCUUAUUUUA
rnacentral:lncRNA from 1 species